GGGAGGAGAGGAGGAGGAAAGACAGGGUACACAAAACACACAAAAGGAAGGAAGGAAGGAGAGGAAAAGGAGGUAACAUGUGUCACACACAACACAAGGAAGGAAGGAAGGAAGGAAGGAAGGAAG